rnacentral:lncRNA from 1 species
GUUAUAAUUUAAUGCCUUAUGAUUUGUUUUGUUUUUGAAAGCGAGAUGUAUGGUUUAACUAGCGAAAGAGACGAUUCGAACAACACCUCACUCGUCUCACUGAAUAAUGCACAAUUAAUAAUUUAGUAAGUGUUAAGUAAUAGUUUUCUUAAGAGCCGCUGAUGUAUUGAUAUGCUGUUGUAGUACAUGUAUUUAUUGAUUUGACUAGUAUAUGUUACUCUUUUUGAAAAGUUACAAACACCGUUGGAGACGAUAGGAUAGGUUAGACCUAAAAGAGAGACACCCGGUCCUCGACGACGACGACGACGAGGAGAAAUUAACUGUGUGGUGUGAUCCCCCGGCAUGAAAUUCUCAAUUCAAUGCCACUCAAUGCAGUGGGACUCACCAUCAACAGCAACCGUCCUUAUUGUUUUGAUCAGCAAAUGGACGGUUCGUGAUGUUAUAUUGUUUUAUCUCCGCAGAGCCAACACGCUCUUGUACGAUUCCAUUGGACCAGACCGGUCCGAACCUGCCCAAAUUAACCCAGGCCCAGCACUUCGCGUCCUUCUCUCUAUUACAGUGCUCAAUUAUAUAUGAUCUGUAGCUUUCAGUGCUGGAACCUAAUUUGCACCGUCCAAAUACAUCAAUUUUAAACAUUUUUCUUCAAAAAAAAAAAAAAAACCCCUAAAAAAAAUUGAAAAUUAAAAAGAUUUGUUAACCAUAAAAUAGUAAGAACUUAGAACAGUUAAACUUAAAUAAAUUUCAUUAAUGAUCAGCUCAUUUAGUUAGUCUUAAUUGUUGAGUUUCCGUAUCCUCCCAAACAUCAGUGUUAAGGAUGACGACUCGGUUAAUUCUAAGCAGGUCAAGCGUUGCGCCAAUGUUAAAUGACCUACUUCUCCACAAUGUGGGGCCCACCUUGAGCCAAAAUCUCCGCCGAGUCACGGUUCGUAUAAUUAAUUUCAAUGCCGAGAUAUGGAAAAUCUUGGCACGGAUAGCAGGUUAAAUGCGGGGGCAAGGUUCAUGUGAUUGGGCUGUUACUGACCCACGCAUUGACUCCUCCCCCCUCCCAGUUAAGAACUUCCACGUGGACGCCACUCUGUUGCUCUCCCAACACCCAAUCGAGCCAAACCCGAAUAUCAAACUGACCCGGAAUAGCCCAACCCUGCUAUGAAACUAACGAGUGAACUUCAAUAUUUACCGUAUUUUUUGUUUUUUAUCAUUUUGUAAUUUCAAAUAAUUUUAUAUUAUUUUUUAUUUUACUAUAAAAAUUUAUUGUAAGCAUUCUGAUAGAGUAAUUUUUUAUACUAUGUCGUGCUGCUUAUAAAUUGUAAAAAAAUAUUAUUUUCAUAUAGUAUUUAAUUGUAGAAUUUUAUUAGUAAAAAUAAAAAUAUUUUUUUAAAAAAAUUAUAGAAUGGGGAGAUAAAAAUAUGUUGGUAAACCGUACAGAAUAAAGUGAAGCUUAAUUUCCACUCAUGUAACAUUUUUUGUCAUAUAGUAUUUUAUUUUAAUUUAGCGAAUAAAGUAGGGUUAUAUUGUCUUAUCCAGAGCAUUGUGGGGACCAGCGAAAGGGAAGAGCACAAGGGUUCCCGGAAACGUGUCCGAGCACCGCGAACCCAACGAACCACCCCGCCAUGCGCAUGUCUGACACAGCCCUCUCCGCCCUCCACGUGUCCCACCACCUCAUGCCCCCCUCCUUAAAACCGACAAAUCAUCGCAUGCACCCGGUCUACACCUACGGUUCGCGCAGCGGGCACCAAAUUGCCGCUGUGGAGAGGGGAGUUAUUGUUAGGGGCGGCGUACGGUGCACGCGGUGCAUGCAGUAGCUUCCCGUUCAAAACCGUCUCUCAUAACUUGGCCCCGUCCGUUACAGCACCCCCCUUCCCUAACGGGUUUCGUCACGCCCCAUCCGCGCCCCGCGCCCGGACUCCACUUCCACCGCCUCAGUCUCUGAAGCAUCCAAACGGGCGUCAGUUUCUAAACCUUCCCCAACUCCACCCCCACCCCCACGGUUAACUUUUUAACUUAACCCCGGUCAUAUCAUCCUAUCCCGAGUUCCAAAGUUCCCAAGUUCCCAGCCCAGUUAUAUUUAUAUUCUCCCCAGUAUCUCCCAGAGCCCUCCCCACAGUGUGUGCGAAGAAGAUACUAGAAAAGCGGGGAAGGUUGACGUACGCUUGCUGUUGGGGAAGGAGGAGGAUGAUGAUGAUGGCGAUGGGGGGAGAAGCAGCAGCAGCAGCAGCAGCAGCAGCGAGAAGAGCCCAUUUCAAUCCGACGGUGGAGAUCCCUCCUCCGUGGUCCCCGCUGGACGAUCCUGCGGCGGGAGCGUUGGGGAUGGGGAUGGGGAUGGGGAUGGGGAUGGGGCUGAGCCCCUCCGCGGGGGGGGAGUACGCGGCGUACCUGGUGGGGGAGGAAGGGGGGGAGGAGGGGGAUCUUCCGGAGGAGGCGGACGUGUACGCGAGCGACGAUUUCCGGAUGUACGAGUUCAAGGUGCGGCGGUGCGCGCGCGGGAGGAGCCACGAUUGGACGGAGUGCCCCUUCGCCCACCCGGGCGAGAAGGCGCGCAGGAGGGACCCGCGCAAGUACCACUACUCGGGGACGGCGUGCCCGGACUUCCGCAAGGGGAGCUGCAAGCGCGGGGACGCCUGCGAGUUCGCGCACGGGGUGUUCGAGUGCUGGCUCCACCCGGCCCGGUACCGCACCCAGCCCUGCAAGGACGGCACCGCCUGCCGCCGCAGGGUCUGCUUCUUCGCCCACACCCCCGACCAGCUUAGGGUUUUGCCGCCCCAGCACGCCAGCCCCAGAGGAGGCGGCGGAGGAGCAGCCGGACCACCAGGGACCGCGGCGGCGGCGGCGCUGGACUCGUACGACGGGUCGCCGCUGCGCCACCGCGCGGUGGAGGCGGCGUACUUGGCGAAGGGGCUGAUGUCGUCGUCGCCGACCUCGACACUGAUGUCGCCGCCGGUGUCCCCGCCGUCGGAGUCGCCGCCGAUGUCGCCCGGGGCGGCGGCGGCGGCGGCGGCGGCUGCUGGGGUGAGGAGGGCGUCGUGGCCGGCGGUGGGGGCGUCGGUGGGCGAUUUGGUUGCGUCGCUGAGGCAGAUGCAGCUGGGCAAGGUGGAGUCGCCGCCGAGCGCGUGGGGGUUUCGCGGCGGCGGGGGUUUCACGCCGGUGGGGUUCUGCAGCCUCCCGACGACGCCGACGAGGGCGGUGGGAGGUGGUGGGCGGAUGGAGAAGGUGAAUCCAGAGGGGGAUGCGGAGGCGGUGGAGAGGGUGGAGUCUGGGAGGGCGCUGAGGGCGAAGAUCUUCGAGAAGCUCAGCAAGGAGACGCCCUCGUCGGCCCUCGCGACUGCGCCGGAUUUCGGGUGGGUCUCGGAGUUGGUGAAGUGAGAAGAGAGAGAGAGAGAGAGGGAGAGAGAGGUAAGAGAAGUGAAGAGGGGAAAUGAAGCCGAAGUUACGGGGAGGUUUUUGAAAAAAAUUAUAAAAAAAAAAAAGGAAAAGGAGCGUAGUAUUAUUCGAUGUUAUUUUGGGUAGUUACCUGUAAAUAUUAAUUAAGCAACGAAGUUAAGAAAGGGAAAAGAAAGAUGCCACUAUUUUGUAGAUAUAUGUUGUGUUUAUGUGAAGGGCAGGGUCGGAGGUGCAUGGGGAUGGAAAUGGCUAAGCGGUGGAUUUGUUUUGGGGAGGAAGAAGAAGUUUAAGUUGAAGAUGACGAUGAUUGAUGAAGAUGAUGAUGGUCUUCUUUUUUUCUUUUUCCCCCUACUCUUCCUUUUUUUUCUUUGUGGUCAGUGUACAGGGAGCAGUAACUAAGUUGGAUUGAGUGCUACCGAAGACGAAGACGGGUGGCAUCAAAAGCCGUGCAAAUUCGCUGAUGAUUCUGAUUCAUAUUUCUGGGGACAUGAUCGUGAUCUCUCCUAUUCUGCUUGUUUUGGUUCAAGUUCUUAUUUGGUGUUUGUACUAGAUCAGUUACCAUUAUCCUUCCUGCUAGCCUUAUAUUUGCAUGUUAUUAUUUUAUUUUCAUGUCAAAUAUUUGUAACCACUCCUUAAAAUGAGAUUGUAAUAUAUACUUGUACUACUUGUUCUUUUAUAUAUAUAUAUAUUUAUAUUUUUCCCUCAAUAAGUUAAUUGAUUGAUCCUCUGUUGAGAGUUGAGACGAGGGAUUGUUUGCAUCAUUAAAAUUGCAUGGACAGUUGAUGGUGUAGAACAGACGGUGGACGUCGCUUUUCCGCAAUGUCGUGCAGGAUGAUAAAGAGAGAUCGGACGGUGACGUACAGACGUGGCACCUCUCUAUUCUGAUGUAUUAGCCUUUUGUUGAUUGUUGAUUGCACUAUUUAUUUUAUAUAUUUAUUUAUUUUUUUGAGAAAAAUUAGCCAUCAUUUUAUUUAUUUAGAAUAUAAAUUCGGCUACAAACUAUCACUUCAUUCAUUUAGAGUAUAAAUUCGACUACAAACUGAGACAUCUAGGCUUCGAAGCGACACACAAAAAAAAAAAAAAGAAAAAAAAAAGAAAAAGUUAACGCAUAUCUCAUAUCUUAUUAUUGCUCCAUCAAUAUCUUGUUAUUGCACUGUUUUUGGUCAUCAAUCAAUCUUCAUUAUUUGUAAUUACAUAGAUUUCUAACUUUCAAAAGUAUUGAAUUUGUUAGAUGUCUCCGAUUCUAAAAUUGCAAAAAUUUUUAAUUCUGUUAUGUUUGGAUUAUAUUCUAUGAAAUUUAAUUUUAUUGAGAUUAUUUUUAGUAAAUAUAUAUUUUUUAAAUUCGUUAAAAUUUAUUUUUUUAAAUUUAUUAAAAUAUAUUCUAUAAAAUAAAUUUUUUUAUAUAAAUUAUAUUUUUAGUUAUGUUAAAAUUUAGCCACUAUUCAAAAUAUAUAUUUUAUUUUAUUAAUUUUCUGAAGCAAAUGAAAAAGAAUGAGUGUAUUUUGGGUUUAGAAUUUUAUAAGAAAGAUAUUUUGUAUAUUAUUUUGAUUAUAGUUAAAAUUUUCACUACGUAUUUGUCUGUGGAUAUAGAUUAGUGGCUGAAUCACGUAAAUAUUUAUGUAUUUUAUUUUUAAAAAUUUUUUAGUGUUUUUUAUUUAGAGAAUAAAUUUUUAAUUUCAUCAUAAUAAAUUAGUAUCACAGAAAAUUAGAUAACAGUAUAAGUGGCGGACUUUUAGCAGUAUUAUUGCUUUCUAAUUUUUUUUUUUUCACUUAAAUUUCUCACCUUUUAUCCUAUGUGUGUUUGAUCACAUCAUCAUGCAAUCACAUCAUCCUUAAUGAUGUUUCAUGUGGUCCUCGACGGUUAUGACGCUCUCCGUUGGGUACACGGUAUCAGUAAUAUUUUUAGAAUAAUUAAUAUCAUAAUUAAAUAUAUUUAAAUAUAAUUAUUUUUAUCGAGUAUAUUUUUUAUUAUUAUUUUUUUUUAUCUUUCUUUACUCUAAUCGAUUUCGGCCCACGAUGGGACGAUAUCAAUUAUGCCAUUUUAGAUUAACUGGAGUUUCGAUCGUAACUCUUUUACGGCGAACCAAACAACGAAAGUUGUUAGUUUUUACUAAAAAUCACUUUCUUCCUUCCACUUCCAUCCCACUUCUUUGCAAACAAACAGACUCCUAAUGAGCGAGUAGCCUCAAAAUGAACAGCUGAAAAUAAAAAUUUCAUAAAAACAGUAAUAAAAACUCAAAUUUCAAAUCGAAAAUUUUGUUUUUACUUUUGAUAUUAAGUAGAAUUUUUUAUUAAAUUUUCAUAUAAUUUGAAUACUUCUACACAGUUGAACUUAAAAUGUACCACAUAGACCAUUAAAAUAGUCAUUUUUAGACUCUGUGAUCGCUUGGUAAACUAAGCCAUCCAUUUUUAAGAUGUUAUUCGAUUUUAACCGUUCAUUUUAUACCCGGUUGAUGGACUUUGUUAUGAUUUCGAAAAAUUACGAAAUUUAUUUUCUAGAAUUUUGAAAUACUCUAAAUCAUAUUUAACGAAGCAGAUUAUUGAUUGGAAGCUCCUUAAUUGAAAAUAAUUUAUGAUUACGAAAGGUUUUAUACUCAUAAAAGUAUAGUAGCCCUAGGCUAUAUAUAUAUAGCCUGCUCUCUCUCUCUCUCUCUCUCUCUCUCUCUCUCUCUCUCUAUAUAUAUAUAUAUAUAUAUAUAGAGCUAGGCUCCUAUACUUUCGAAAGUACGGAGGCUUCCGUGUUUGUAAGUUGUUUUCAAUGAUGGGACGUCCGAUUCGGCGAUCGGUUCCGUUAAAUAUGAUCCACGCUAUUGGAGCUAUCUGAAAACCAAAUUUCAUAAUUUUUUGACUUCGUUUGCCUACUGAACGAGUAGUCUCAAAAUGAAUGGUUAAAAAUAAAAAUCUCAUAAAAAACAGUGAUAAAUGAGUCAAAUUUCAAAUCGGUAGUAUUGUUCUUACUAUUGAUGUUAAGUAGAAUUUUCUAUUAAAGAUUUCAUGUAAUUUGGAUAUUUCUACACCGUUGAACUUAAAAAUGUGCCACAUCGGCCGUUAAAAUAGUCAUUUUUGAGACCCUGUGAUCGCUUGGUAAAUGAUGUCGAAAAAUUAUAAAAUUUGGUUUCUAGAUAGUUCCAAUAGCAUAGAUUAUGCCUAACGGAGCUGAUCGUCGAAUUGGAUGUCCUAUCAUCGAAAACAACUUACAAGCAUGGAGGCCUCCGUUUUUUUGGAAAAUACAGAAGACGUUCUAUAUAUAUAUAUAUAUAGAAAGAGAGAGAGAGAGUUGGACUGGAAUAUUAUUGAUAGUAAAAAGGGUCAAAUACUAUUAAUAGUAUUCCAGCCCAACUCUCUCUCUAUAUAUAUACUCCUACACCAAAAGCUAAUAUUUUGUACUUAUUUAACCAUAUUUUCUUUUAAUUAUUAAAAUUUUAAAAAUUUAAGAGUGCUUGCGAUAAGAUGUAUACAUUUUUUGGGUGGUAAAUCGUAAUAAUAAUUUAUGCGCAUAGAUGAGUAACUAUUACCUUCUAAUUAGUGAAAAAAUUAAUAUAAAUUAUACUAUUGAUUCUCAAACUAUGAGCUGCAUGAUACUUUGAUUUUCAAACUUUAGUUUACUAUAAUUUGUAGCUUAAAUUUUAUAAAUUAUUGGAAUUAAGUUGCACAAUACAAUUUAUUAAGCUAAAUAUUGACGAGAUGCUGAUGUGAAAUAACUAUAACAUACUAAUUAUUUAAGUAUAUAUCAUCAUCAUAAUACUAUUAUAUUAUUUUUACAUUUUUGAUACAUUAAUAUUUAACUAAUUAAAUAGAAUUAUAUGACUUAUUUAUAAUAAUUCAAAAGAUUCAAGCUGGCAUCUUUAUAAUAAAUUAAAAUUUGAGAAUCAAAAUAUUACCAAUCUUCUAGUUUCAAAGCAAAAACUGUCAUUACGUAUAAAAUUUAUUAGGUUACUGUUUCAAUAUGUUUGAAAUUUUAAAAUAGUAAUACGAACAACAUCAGAAAUAUACAAUUUUUUUAUUUUGCUUCAAUUAAAUGCCAACCAUCUAAAGGUUUUUCUUAAUUUUGACGAAAUAAACUACGUCACUUCAUUAAUAAAAAAAAACCUAAAUACUUCUAUAAAUUAUGUUUAAUUUUUUUAAAAAAUAUAAUAACUCAAUGGCAAAUAUGCAUGAUAAAAUAGACAUGUAUAAAUUAUAGUCAAUUUUUUUUUAAGUAUUUAAAGUAUUUUAAAUUAUAGUUUAAAGUAUUUUCUAUUAAGUAUUUUCUAUUAAAAUUUGAAGCCAUUGAGUUUGGAGUUUAACAGUAUUUUCUAUACUGUUAAACUCCAAACUCACCAUAGAAGCCAUUGAAAAUUGUCAAUUUUGAAAUAGUUUGAUCAUAAAGUAAAACAUGUCGAAAAAAUAUAAAAUUUUAUUUUUAAAAUCUUUAAAUACCCUAGAUCAGUUUUAACGGUGUGGAUCGUUGAUUUGAACACCCUAAAAUCGAAAACGAGACAAUCGUACCGGAGCCCCGAUACUAUAGAUAGUAUAGGAGACUAGUAAUACUAUAAUAUAUAUAUAUAAUAUAUAUAACUAUAUAUAUUAUAAUAUAUAAUAUAUAUAUUAUAAUUAGGUGCAAUAACUAUUGAAUGCAGUCAAACGACGCAUUUCUUUACUAUUAAAACUUUUCUAGAGCCUUUGAUGAAAAUGAAUUGUAGGUUAGGAUGAGAUUAGUCAGGUCAGAGUUGACGUGGUCCCGCCUAGAUUGAAGUGGUCCCACUAGGCUAUAGAUUUAAUCAUAGCUAGAAUGAUGAAAAGAGUUGACCAAAGGCUUAAAAAUAUAGCUAACAAUAGCAUUUUCUACUAAUUAGGUAGCGUCAACUAUAUAUAUAUAUAAUAUAUAUAUAUAUAUAUAUAGAAGGCUACUAUCGCUUAUCGGAAGUCAGGAGCCAUCGUGCUUUCCACUCGUUUUCGAUGUUUGGUACUUUCGACAUCGUGCGAAUCGGCUCGCGAUUAACUUGAUCUAGAGUAAGUUGGAAGUACCUAGAAAAUAAUUUUAUUAUUUUUCAGAUAUCAUUUGCUCUAGUGAUCGAAUGGCGCUCAAAAAUCAACAAAUUUCAUGGUGUAGAUGAGCCGUUUGCAAGUUUAACGGUGUAGAAAUAUCCAAAUCACGUGAAAUUUUGAUAGAAAAUUUUUUAUACUAUAUAAAACAAGAUCAAUAUCUUUGAUUUAAAAUUUUAAUGUCAUAUUAUCACAUUUUGUAAGAUUUUUAUUUUCAGCCGUUGAUUUUAAGCCCAUUCGUUCACUAGGCAAAUAAUAUCGUAAAAUCAUAAAAUUUAUUUUCUAGGUACUUUAAAUACUCUAGAUCAAGUUUAACGGAGCCGAUCGACGAUUCGAAAGUUAAGCUGAAAGCACGGAAGGCUCCGUGCUUCCGAUAGCAUAGUAGCAUCACUCAUAUAUAUAUAUAUAUAUAUACAUAUAUAUAUGGUCCGGCUACUAUACUAUCGGUAGCACGGGGGGCUCCGUGCUACUAAGUUGUUUUUGAUGAUGCGGCUUUCAAAUCGACGAUCGGCUCCGUUAGACUUGAUCUAUAUUAUUGAAAGUAUUUAAAAACUAAAUUUUAGAUUUUUUUGGCAUCAUUUGACUAGUGAUCAAAAGAUCUCAAAAUUGACAAUUUUAAUGACCGAUGUGGUGUGUUUGUGAGUUUAAUGGUAUAAAACAAUUCAAAUACGAUGAAAGUUUAUAGAAAUUUUUUUUCACUAUUUAGAGUAAGAUCAGUAUAUCUGAUCUUGAAAUUAAAUCAUUUAUCAUCAUUUUUUAUGAGAUAUUUAUUUUCAGCCGUUCAAUUUUAGACUACUUAUUUGAUAGGUAAAUGAUAUCGAAAGAUUAUGAAAUUUAGUUUCUAAAUAAGUUUUAUAGUAGUAGAUCAAGUCUAAUUGAAGCGAUCCGUCAUUUGACAGCCGCGAUCAUCACGAAAACAAGCUUUGCGGGGUAGCACGGAAGCCCUCGCGUUGCUGCCAUAGGUUUUACUAGCUAGCCUUAGUCUCUCUCUCUCUCAUCUUCAUCUUUCUCCUCUUCUCCUCUCUCUCAUAUAAUAUAUAUAGUAUAUAAUAUAUUAUUAUAAUACUAUAUAAAUAUAUAUAUAUAUCUAUACUCUAUCAUUAAUUUGAGCUCCUACAUUUUUAAAAGUACCAAGUCAUUAGAGCUUGUAAGUUUUCGGCCCUUGGAUUAAGGAAUGUGCGGUUAGUAUGAUGUGGGCCCCCUAGGGUUGAGUGUGUGGUUGGUUAAAUAGUAUAAUCUAACGGGUGAAAGUGAUCAAAGGCAUAAAUCUAACGGUAAAAAAUUUACAAGCACCAAGUGCUUGGUGGUUUUACAAGCACCAUAGCCGAACUCUCUCUCUCUCUCUCUCUCCUAUAUAUAUAUAUAUAUAUAUAAUUAGAUUGGAAUACUAUUAAUAGUAAAACCCUAUAUAUAUAUAAUUAGAUUGGAAUACUAUUAAUAGUAAAACCCUCUUUUGCUAUCAAGUUUUUAACCCUUGGAUGAAAAAUUGUAGGGUUAGGAUGAUAUUAGUCAGUUAGAGUUGAGUGGUCCCCCUAGGGUUGAGUGGUCCCCACUGGGUUAUAGUAUUUAAUCCAAUGGUUGGAAAUAAUAAAAAGAG